GGAAUAUAAGAACCCGUCUCUUAACUUUUAACUAAAAAAGCUAAAAUAAUCAUGCUCUAAUGAUGCCAAAUAAGUCAAUUUGUAAAGUUUAUGUCGGUUCUUAGCUUUUUUAGUUAAAAGUUAAGAGACGGGUUAUUAUAUUUC
rfam:Brassica napus, WGS project CCCW01000000 data, contig: 450